CAAGAAGGGGCUGACCCACUCCUAAGGCUAGUGGGUGGGCACCCUUUUACUAGUCCUCUUGGAAAUGAAAGUUCCCUUUGCUGGAGAGUUUGCAGCUGAGAUGAUAUGAUAUUGACUUAGAGCUGUGGUUGGCUCUAAGUCAUCUCAUCUUGUCACCAUAAGGAAUGAGUUGGCUGGAGAAUAGAGCCAGCCCAGAGUAAAGUGAAGCUGACAGAUGAAGAGAAAAAUAUGUUUUGUGAUAUUGUUGAGCAUCUUAAUCAGCAUGCCCAAGCCAAUCAUGUCAAGGAAGACCAAGAGAACUCUGAAAGAAGAAAACGGAUUUUUUGAUGAGGAUUGGGAAUUGCAAUAUUAUCUUGUUUCUGCUAAAGACUGAUAACUUGGAGCUCCGGCUGGAUGCAUUCCAUUUUUCAGCAACGGGAAGCAUCAAGAGAAUCUUGUUUCCCACAUAACUUAGUGGAACAGGAGAACUGGGUCACCCAAGAGCUUCAGCGAGGCUCUUGGGAGGGCUCCGGAAAUAAGCAGGAGCAUUUACACUACUGAGAACAAGUGGUUUUGAUCAAAACACUCAGCAAGUAAAGCAGGACACUGGGUGGAACAGAAGAGGUGGUAGGAAAGACUACCUGACUUAUUAAAGACUGUCUGUGUAAAAUAACGAUACAUUCUCCUUCUGGUGAAUCUGAGCAUUUCUUGCCGUGUUCUGGCACCAAGAUGUUGAAUCACAUGUCUCACGUAGAAUUGUAGGUUUUUGCAGAGUUUGAUUGGAUCUCAAGCAUAACCUUAAUCAAUUUCUUUAGAACUGGGGAGAGUAGGAUCCAGAGAGGUUCAAGGACUUAUCUGAAGUCACACAGCUAGUUGGUGGCAGUGCUGGGAACAGAACCUGUUUCCUAUUCCCAGUGUGUGCACUUCCCUCUCCCACACAUCUGCUUCCUCUACUCCUUUAAGCGUCUUGUUCCUUUAGGCCACAGCUCAAGUGUUCUGGUGGGUAUUCUCAGCACAAUCUCUAGAUUGCUGUUUUUGACACUUACGUGUUUGGCUUCCUUCUUGUCCGCUAAUUUUUUUUUUUUAAACCACGCUUUUGUAAAAUCAUUAGGUUCUGUGGUAGAGUAGGGCACUGAUGUUUGAGAAUUUGUUGCAUUUGCACAGUUUCUAGAUGGCAAGUGAUACAUAGCUGUAUGCUGCUGAAUUAAGGUGUGUUUAAAGAAUCAUGCAGCUGCAAGGAGCUGUGUGGAGCA